rnacentral:rRNA from 1 species
CACAAGCGGUGGAGCAUGUGGUUUAAUUCGAUGCAACGCGAAGAACCUUACCUGGGCUUGACAUCCCGAGAAUCCCCUGGAAACAGGGGAGUGCCUUUCGGGGAACUCGGAGACAGGUGCUGCAUGGCUGUCGUCAGCUCGUGUCGUGAGAUGUUGGGUUAAGUCCCGCAACGAGCGCAACCCUUGUCUUUAAUUGCCAGCAUUCAGUUGGGCACUUUAAAGAGACUGCCGGUGUUAAGCCGGAGGAAGGUGGGAUGACGUCAAGUCCUCAUGGCCUUUAUGCCCAGGGCUACACACGUGCUACAAUGGGUGGUACAAAGAGAUGCCAACUCGCGAGAGCGCGCCAAUCUCAGAAAGCCAUCCUCAGUUCGGAUUGGAGUCUGCAACUCGACUCCAUGAAGUUGGAAUCGCUAGUAAUCGCGGAUCAGCACGCCGCGGUGAAUACGUUCCCGGGCCUU